UUGUAUUUUUUGGCAGUCUUUGUCGUCUGAGGUCAUUCUGGAAAAUGGCCGUCUGCCAGAAGGAGUUACCAUCACAUACAAAUCCAUCUGCAAGAACGGUGUGGAGGGAAUAGGGGAGAACGGCAGGAAGUGCUCCAACAUCUCCAUCGGAGACGAGGUGUCUUUCCAGAUUUCCAUCGAGUCCCAGAAGUGUCCAUCGAACGGAAAGCCUGAGGUGAU